UUUCACUUAGCGUAAUGUCUCCAGGGCUCAUCCAGGCCGUCACGUGUGGCAGAAUUUCCGUUCUGUUUAGGGCCGAAUGAUAUUCUACAGCAUGUAUAAACCACACUGGGCUGCUUCCACCUCUGGGCCAUUGUGAAUGAAGCUGCUAUGAACAGAAGAAAAAGAGAAUGGGACCAUUGUUGAUUGCACAUGGAAAUAGACACAGCAUUCACACAGAGCAGGGUGUGGUGGCAGAAGCUCAUCCAGAAGCCUGGCUCGGUGAAGGGGUGAAGAAGCAGCAGCAGCAGCAGCGAUGAAACAGUCUCUCAAGAUCACUUGAGUCUUCCCCCUGCACCAGCAGCCUCCUUAGAGUGUUGAAGGAGUCGCAAGGGACUCCUCACGUCUAUCCCCAGUCCGUCAAACCCUCAUUUGCUUCCCGUGCUCCGUAUCUGGGCCCCACAGAGACAGUGGGACAGAGCCAACUAGGAUGAGCCAGGGAAGGAGACAGCAAAAGUGAGGGAAGAUUUUGGAAAUGAGCCAUACCUGGAAGGAAUAUGGAAAUGGGAUGUAAUUGUAUAGAAAAGAGAAGGGCUUUUGUGAAGAGGGACUAAUUACAGAGUGGAGGGAGAAGAGAGUGUUCAGUGUGCAUUGUCUGAAGGAGUGAACAGGCUCAUCGCUCACUUCCUCCAGGGGACCCAGCCUGGAGAAUGCACAGGGGCCGCAGGAAGAUGGACAUAGUCGAGACGUACAGCAUCUUCUCACCAUCAGGACUGGGCAGGACGGUGUCAUUUCUUUUUCCAGAUAAUUCAUAUAUUUUUCAGAUGGGCAGUUUUCUUUUUGUUCUGACAUAAUGUCAUUCAAACUAGACGUGAGGACUGAAUUAAGAUCUCUUAAUAACACUUCCAAACUUUCAACCAGAACCCUAAGUUUUGUAAGUUUAAACAUAUUUAUGUGUUGUUUUCUUUUAACUAAAGGAAAGCAAGACAUUUUACCAACACAACAUGCUGGAAUAGUUUGUUACCUUCAUAUUGAUGAAAGGAAAACUAAACCCAAAAGGCACUAGUAUUCUUUUUCCCUCU